CAUCGGGUAAAAUCGUGAAACGUCGUAGAAGGCCCGAAGCUACCCUCGUCUUUUGUCGCCACUUAUCGUAUAACCUAUUUUUAGCGACUGUGACGUCAGUUUUCACAGGAAGCAAUAUGGCCGCUCGCUUGCGAAACUAUCGUGGCCGGUACGUCAAAAAAACAAAUUACGUUAAAAUUAAGAAGUUUGAAAGGAUUUUAAUUAAACAUAAUUAUGUAACGGACAAUUCUGUGCAAAGUGGUAAUCCUGCUGAAGUGUUUAGUGACCAGAAUCUUACGCAACAGUGGAAAAUUGGGCGGCGAAAUAUUGAACUAGAUGUUCUUGUUGAAAAUUUGAAGUUUUGCAAAUCGUGCAGGUUUGGACCGGUUCCACUGACGUUAUACAGUGUACAAAAGGAAAUUAAGAAGGGGCUUGGUGGAUAUCUGUAUGUGCAGUGCGAAAAUUUAAAUUGCGGUUUUAUUAACUUUGUUUCGUAUGGGAAAACCCACAGACACAGGGGAAAAUCAGGAAAAUCAGGCAUGCCUUGUUUUGCAGUAAAUACCAAGCUUGGUACAGCUAUGAUAGACAGUAUUGGAGGUCCAACAAUGGUUAACAAUAUGCUGUCCACCCUCAUCUUACCAACAUUGUCCAAUAACAAGAUGAAAAAAAAUGGAACGCAGGGCAGGAGAAGCUAUCGAGUGUGUGGCAUCUAAAUCAACUUCAACAGCUGCUCAUAAGGCUUUCAGUAUGGAAAUACAGUAUUGAAGAAAGGCAGGAAGAUAUUGAUGUAGAGAGGAUACCUGAAUACAGUGAUGCUGUUCCACUUGGUGACUUUAAACCCAUACCACCUCUAUCAGACCCAAUAACAAUGAUUGCACUUGAUUUAGAGACUACAGACCUUAUUCGUGCUGGACAAAUGCCCCACAUAACGCAGAUUGCUGCCAAGGUUGUCAACAGUGGCAUAGGACAAACAUUCUUUGUAUAUGUACAGCCCAAGAUGCCAACUUCAACAG